rnacentral:rRNA from 1 species
AACUCAAAGAAUUUGGCGGUAUUUUAGUCUUUUUAGAGGAAUCUGCCCUGUAAUUGAUAAUCCGCAAUAUAUCAUUCUUUAAUUUGUAAAUUCAGUUUGUAUACCGCCGUUAUCAGAAUAUUUUAUUAGAGUGUUAAUAUUCAUUUUUAUUAUUAUAAUCUAUUUCAGGUCAAGGUGCAGCUUAUAUUGAAGUGGGAGGUGGAUUACAAUAAAUUUAUUUAAACGGUUAAAGAUUUGAAAAUAGUUUUUUUAAGGCGGAUUUAAUAGUAAAUUUAAUUAAUAUUUUAAGUUGAUUUUGCUCUAAGAUAUGCACACAUCGCCCG